rfam:TPA: Bos taurus chromosome 14, whole genome shotgun sequence.
UCCCUGGUGGCUCAGAUGGUAAAGAAUCUGCCUGUAAUGCAGGAAACCUGAGUUUGAUCCCCGGUUCGGGAA